rnacentral:rRNA from 1 species
UACGUAGGGUGCAAGCGUUGUCCGGAAUCAUUGGGCGUAAAGCGCGUGUAGGCGGUCCGGUAAGUCCGCUGUGAAAGUCGGGGGCUCAACCCUCGAAUGCCGGUGGAUACUGUCGGGCUAGAGUGCGGAAGAGGCGAGUGGAAUUCCUGGUGUAGCGGUGAAAUGCGCAGAUAUCAGGAGGAACACCAAUUGCGAAGGCAGCUCGCUGGGACGUUACUGACGCUGAGACGCGAAAGCGUGGGGAGCAAACAGG